rnacentral:sRNA from 1 species
AAGACGCUUUGAAUCGGUGCAGUUUUUACCCUUCUCGCCUGCGCAAGCCGCGCCAACCCCGCUAAAACCGCGCUUGGCGGAACUUGGCACAACCACUGCAUUAACUCUCCCAACAGCACAUACGACCCGGCCUUCAACGACGAAGGAUGGGUUUUCCCGAGAGAACGGGACCGGACAAAGGCGUCCUGCCAGGCAACUGGCGGGACGCC